GCCUGGGUGGCUCAGUGGUUGAGCAUCUGCCUUUGGCUCAGAGCCUGAUCCCAGAUUCCUGGGAUCAAGUCCCAUAUCGGGCU
rnacentral:tRNA from 1 species